AAAAAGAAGAUAAGAAGGAAGAAUGAAACAGGAGUACACAUAGUUGCACAUUUUAGUUUCUUGCCCAUUUUCUG
rnacentral:ribozyme from 1 species